CGACUCUGGAAAGCAGCGGGCACGCCCGCUCACCGAAGGUGCAAGGGCAUACGCCGCCCGAAUCUCUCAGGUCACGGUACAGAGCGGGGA
rnacentral:ncRNA from 1 species